AGCGCAUACGGUGGAUGCCUUGGCAGUCAGAGGCGAUGAAAGACGUGGUAGCCUGCGAAAAGCUUCGGGGAGUCGGCAAACAGACUUUGAUCCGGAGAUCUCUGAAUGGGGAAACCCACCUAGGAUAACCUAGGUAUCUUGUACUGAAUCCAUAGGUGCAAGAGGCGAACCAGGGGAACUGAAACAUCUAAGUACCCUGAGGAAAAGAAAUCAACCGAGAUUCCCUUAGUAGUGGCGAGCGAACGGGGAUUAGCCCUUAAGCUUCAUUGAUUUUAGCGGAACGCUCUGGAAAGUGCGGCCAUAGUGGGUGAUAGCCCCGUACGCGAAAGGAUCUUUGAAGUGAAAUCGAGUAGGACGGAGCACGAGAAACUUUGUCUGAACAUGGGGGGACCAUCCUCCAAGGCUAAAUACUACUGACUGACCGAUAGUGAACCAGUACCGUGAGGGAAAGGCGAAAAGAACCCCGGAGAGGGGAGUGAAAUAGAACCUGAAACCGUAUGCGUACAAGCAGUGGGAGCCUACUUGUUAGGUGACUGCGUACCUUUUGUAUAAUGGGUCAGCGACUUAUAUUCAGUGGCAAGCUUAACCGUAUAGGGUAGGCGUAGCGAAAGCGAGUCUUAAUAGGGCGUUUAGUCGCUGGGUAUAGACCCGAAACCGGGCGAUCUAUCCAUGAGCAGGUUGAAGGUUAGGUAACACUGACUGGAGGACCGAACCCACUCCCGUUGAAAAGGUAGGGGAUGACUUGUGGAUCGGAGUGAAAGGCUAAUCAAGCUCGGAGAUAGCUGGUUCUCCUCGAAAGCUAUUUAGGUAGCGCCUCAUGUAUCACUCUGGGGGGUAGAGCACUGUUUCGGCUAGGGGGUCAUCCCGACUUACCAAACCGAUGCAAACUCCGAAUACCCAGAAGUGCCGAGCAUGGGAGACACACGGCGGGUGCUAACGUCCGUCGUGAAAAGGGAAACAACCCAGACCGCCAGCUAAGGUCCCAAAGUUGUGGUUAAGUGGUAAACGAUGUGGGAAGGCUUAGACAGCUAGGAGGUUGGCUUAGAAGCAGCCAUCCUUUAAAGAAAGCGUAAUAGCUCACUAGUCGAGUCGGCCUGCGCGGAAGAUGUAACGGGGCUCAAACCACACACCGAAGCUGCGGGUGUCACGUAAGUGACGCGGUAGAGGAGCGUUCUGUAAGCCUGUGAAGGUGAGUUGAGAAGCUUGCUGGAGGUAUCAGAAGUGCGAAUGCUGACAUGAGUAACGACAAUGGGUGUGAAAAACACCCACGCCGAAAGACCAAGGGUUCCUGCGCAACGUUAAUCGACGCAGGGUUAGUCGGUUCCUAAGGCGAGGCUGAAAAGCGUAGUCGAUGGGAAACAGGUUAAUAUUCCUGUACUUCUGGUUACUGCGAUGGAGGGACGGAGAAGGCUAGGCCAGCUUGGCGUUGGUUGUCCAAGUUUAAGGUGGUAGGCUGAAAUCUUAGGUAAAUCCGGGGUUUCAAGGCCGAGAGCUGAUGACGAGUCGUCUUUUAGAUGACGAAGUGGUUGAUGCCAUGCUUCCAAGAAAAGCUUCUAAGCUUCAGGUAACCAGGAACCGUACCCCAAACCGACACAGGUGGUCGGGUAGAGAAUACCAAGGCGCUUGAGAGAACUCGGGUGAAGGAACUAGGCAAAAUGGCACCGUAACUUCGGGAGAAGGUGCGCCGGCUAGGGUGAAGGAUUUACUCCGUAAGCUCUGGCUGGUCGAAGAUACCAGGCCGCUGCGACUGUUUAUUAAAAACACAGCACUCUGCAAACACGAAAGUGGACGUAUAGGGUGUGACGCCUGCCCGGUGCCGGAAGGUUAAUUGAUGGGGUUAGCGCAAGCGAAGCUCUUGAUCGAAGCCCCGGUAAACGGCGGCCGUAACUAUAACGGUCCUAAGGUAGCGAAAUUCCUUGUCGGGUAAGUUCCGACCUGCACGAAUGGCGUAACGAUGGCGGCGCUGUCUCCACCCGAGACUCAGUGAAAUUGAAAUCGCUGUGAAGAUGCAGUGUAUCCGCGGCUAGACGGAAAGACCCCGUGAACCUUUACUGUAGCUUUGCACUGGACUUUGAGCCUGCUUGUGUAGGAUAGGUGGGAGGCUUUGAAGCGUGGACGCCAGUUCGCGUGGAGCCAUCCUUGAAAUACCACCCUGGCAUGCUUGAGGUUCUAACUCUGGUCCGUGAUCCGGAUCGAGGACAGUGUAUGGUGGGCAGUUUGACUGGGGCGGUCUCCUCCUAAAGAGUAACGGAGGAGUACGAAGGUGCGCUCAGACCGGUCGGAAAUCGGUCGCAGAGUAUAAAGGCAAAAGCGCGCUUGACUGCGAGACAGACACGUCGAGCAGGUACGAAAGUAGGUCUUAGUGAUCCGGUGGUUCUGUAUGGAAGGGCCAUCGCUCAACGGAUAAAAGGUACUCCGGGGAUAACAGGCUGAUACCGCCCAAGAGUUCAUAUCGACGGCGGUGUUUGGCACCUCGAUGUCGGCUCAUCACAUCCUGGGGCUGAAGCCGGUCCCAAGGGUAUGGCUGUUCGCCAUUUAAAGUGGUACGCGAGCUGGGUUUAGAACGUCGUGAGACAGUUCGGUCCCUAUCUGCCGUGGACGUUUGAGAUUUGAGAGGGGCUGCUCCUAGUACGAGAGGACCGGAGUGGACGAACCUCUGGUGUUCCGGUUGUCACGCCAGUGGCAUUGCCGGGUAGCUAUGUUCGGAAAAGAUAACCGCUGAAAGCAUCUAAGCGGGAAACUUGCCUCAAGAUGAGAUCUCACUGGGAACUUGAUUCCCCUGAAGGGCCGUCGAAGACUACGACGUUGAUAGGCUGGGUGUGUAAGCGUUGU
rnacentral:rRNA from 1 species